GCACUGACGAAGAGUCCACAACAGGACGGAACGGCCGUCCAAUGC
rnacentral:hammerhead_ribozyme from 1 species